rnacentral:tRNA from 1 species
GGGCUCCUAGCUCAGCCUGGUCAGAGCGAUUGGCUCUUAUGCAUGGAGAAGUGCAAGGAAACCAAUAGGUCGGGGGUUCGAAUCCCCCGGGGCCCA